rnacentral:rRNA from 1 species
GGACUGUAGGCUGCAACUCGCCUACACGAAGUCGGAAUCGCUAGUAAUCGCGGAUCAGCAUGCCGCGGUGAAUACGUUCCCGGGCCUUGUACACACCGCCCGUCACACCAUGAGAGUUUGUAACACCCAAAGCCGGUGGGGUAACCUUUUGGAGCCAGCCGUCUAAGGUGGGACAGAUGAUUGGGGUGAAGUCGUAACAAGGUAUC